ACUCUGCCACGCCUGGGCUUGAGGGAGCGGCUGUCUCUGGAGGGGCUGCGCCACCGCAAUCCUCAUGCCUGGCCUCCGUCUUUGUGCACGGCCACAGUCACCUUGCACGGCUGCAGCCCUUGUGCCCAGAUGUGCUGGGAUGGCCAUGGACAGGUGCCAGGGGACAGAUUACAGAGGCCUGGCCGCCGGUGCAGGGGGACAGCCCCACACUUAUCUCACGAAGCGGCCCGGCACCACCCUGCCUCUCCCCGGGGCCUGAGGCGGCGCGGGCAUCUCUGCGCUGGGGCCGGAGCGGGCCCGGGCCGGCAGCGGUGCGGCGGCUUGCCAGCCCUCACGGCAGUUCCCUGAGCCCUCCAGCGCUGCUCACUCGCCCACGAGGUUUUAUCCCAGCCCCCACGGCAGUGAAUGGCCAGGCCACUGCCCGCAGGAUCAGCCCCACUUUCUCGUGUCGGAAGGUGAUAAAGUGCCCGGGAGCUGCUGGAAACCAUUCUCCAAUAAAUUCAAAGGAGAAAGUCAUUUUUUUGUGCCUUGGAAGCUUGUGAGAGCUGAGGGAUGCUGGAAGGCAGUGAAAACUGAGGCAGCACAUCACACAGUAGUGUGGCAGGAAGCCACCGGAGCAAAUUUUCUGGUUUGUUUUUAUGCUUGUUCUUUUUUUUUCCCCUCAAUGAUUUUUACUCUGCCUGUGGCUAAGCAAUCAAUAUCUCUUUGCCAACGAUAAAUAUUACAGGCUUUUAAAUGAUGAUGUAUUCCAGGGUGAAACAAAUUAGGGGUGUUAUUGCUGCUUAUACUCAAACUAAUUUUGUGGGUUCAAAUGGAAAUUCAGAGAGAGAUUCCUGAACCAGGCUCGCUGGUGGCAGCAGAUCUGAGCAGAUCUGGCUUCAGCUGUCAGCUUUGUUGCUGAUCUCUCUUCUUUCACCGAGAUGAGCAGAAAUCCAGGAGAGCUGUGUGAGUAGCUCCGCAGGCUGAAUCCAUCAGGCAGAUGCAUGCAACUAAGCAUGAGCCUGCCUGGAGCCCUGCAGCGCCCUUGUUUCCCUCGGCAGGAGGCUGCAGAGCUGGAUUGGUGUGUCAAGCAUGGCCCAGACUGAGCAGCACCAGCCCAAAUGCUGACCCUGGGGUGCCACACCAGCAGGGACUUCAGCUCUGACCUCUUGGUGCAGUGGCUGGUCAAGAAGUGUUCCUCAAGGACAUGUGACUAAAAGCAAUUCUUCCCUUCUGAUACGCACGCAGGGAGCCAGGUGGGAACCUGUUUGGAGCCCUGAAAAGUCUGUCAAGGCUGUGACCGCAACCAAUCCUAUUCCCAUGUGUCCAAGGGAGAGCAAACCAGCUUAAUUAGGCACCAAAGAAGCAAUCUGAUUUGGUUCUGGAGUUGGAUGAUUUGUGCAAAUAAAUUGUUACAGGACAUAUUAUUCUCUCUGGUUUCCUACAGUUUCGCUGAGGUGGUGGAGGGAUUGUGUAGCCACUCCUGCUGUGCAUCAGUGCUGCUUGAACCCUUUAGCAGAGAAACUUUAUAGGACAGUUCAGGAAACGUCUGACUCCAUUUCCCACCUACUGCUACAAGAGGUCUUGCUCUGAAGGAUUAAGAUGACUGUGGAAGAUGGAGGGCAAAGACACUGGGCAUUUUUGCUAGGAGACAAUAUUGCAUAAUAAAACACAGCCAGCUGGAGCAGGUGGACACCUCAUGUCAGUGACCAUCAGCCCCACUCUCUUAUCCUCCAGAAGUGUCACCCCCAGGUCCUAGCUCACUGUUUUUUAGGGGGAUGAGGAUCCAUGUAAAAGGAUGUCUCUCUUCCCUCCUUUUUUCUUCAGGGGGAGAGUGCUGCUGUUUUAAUAGUGACAACAGUUCACUACUUGUGCAUUAAUCCUCAUCAGCUUGUAUGUGCAUACAGGCAAAGCAUGAUGGGCUUGACAUUUCUCAUCAAGAAAAUGAAAUCCGCCCAGUUUCAGGUCACCCUGCUCUGGUUUUGUACCAAAUCUUUUCAAAUCAACAGCCAUUUCAUCUCAAUAAGCUAAUAAUAACCCUUGCAAAGCCUGUGAAUCAGCAAAAGACUCUCCACAGCUGCAACUGUCAGCAAAGCAGGAGCUAACACUGUGGAGGGGCGGGUGUUGAAGAAGUUUGAGCCCUGGCCCGUGGUAAGCCCAUGGCAGCAUUUGCUGAGCCAGACCCAUCUCAGGGCUCUGCCUCUGUCCUAGACAACCUCCACCAUGCUUGGCUGUCAUUGUGAGAGGAGUGAGCAGCACAAAUAACUACCAAAGUCUUUAUCCUUUCUCUCUAAGGACAGUUCUCUGGAUGCCAGAAGAAGCCAGAUAAAUGCUUUGUGUUUUCUACUACAACAGGAACCAGCUCUGCAAAAAAAUCUGCAUUGGUGUCUGGUGGGAAUAUCUGGAGCGUUGAAGCUUGGCCUGCUGCUUCUCAUUGAAAUCAGCAGGAAUUUUGUCGUUUGCUUCUCUGGCCCAACUCUGCUUCUGUGGCUGGCUAAGGAAAAGCAGGUUCUGCUGCAAGGGUAUUUGCAGUGGGAGUUGGCAGGUAGUGGGUAGGCUGCCUGCUGGGAGACCUUUUGACCUGAAUCCUCCUGAGUUCUGAUGUUCUUUCCUCCUCCCCCCCGCCCUUGUUUUGCCCCAGGGAGCCUGCAGCUUUGCUGCUGACCAGCAGACAGUGUACAAAGCUGGGAGCCCAGGACUGAGGAUGAACUGGAGAGAUAAGCUAUCUGUGAGCACAAAUGCCUGUCUAGCCUUGCACACCUUGUAGGAAAAGGAGGAAUUUCUGAAAAGGAGGACCCGCCAAGAGAGGGACUGGGCAGUGCAUACCUCGCUUCUUACUCUCUUUCCAUCAGCACACACUGCUGAAUCCUUCUGGAGGCAGGCUACAGAAGGAAAGACCUAUCAGAACCAGGAUGGCAGUCCCUAGUGACAAAACUACAGCGAUUUAAGAGCUUAUGAACAUAGGAUGCUUCAGACACUUUGCAAAUAGAAGAUCCUGCCUAGCAGCUAAGCCCUGAGACCUUUUAAUGACCUUUUAAUUCAAAGGCUCUUGUGGCUUUCUUCUUGUGACUCCUGAGUCUGGGUACCCUGAUAUUCCUCCACAUGGCAUGAGAUUUGAAGCACAUACUCCACAAGCCAGUCUGCUAGUCAAGAAACAGUGGUUUGGGCAAUUUUUCAAUCCUCCAGCACCAUUUGGAGCAUAACUGUCACGGGCUGUAGUGAAACUCCUGGCAGGCAAGGUGCCUGAGCCAGCAGAGGUGUUGCAAGGUGCUGCUGAGUGCCACUGCUGCAGCGAACGCUGUGAGCAGCCAGUGACUCAGGUCUCUGCUGUAUUUCCUAAUGAAAGUCUGAAGGAUUUGGUGUCUUUAUUAAUCACUACAGCUCAGCUUCCACUGUUAGUAUCUUCCUAUGGUUUUGUGUAUCUUGGCAUGGUUUGAUAGCCAAACAAUUUUUUGAGUGCUCAGAUGAGAAAAAAAAACACUGGUAGCAGACACCCAGGAGGCAGCACCAUGGGCUGAGUUAAAAAUCUAGGGCUGUUCUUUGUUACUCUUGUGGCCAAAAUCUCAGGACCACCAUCACCAUAUGGUGCUCCCUAUUUCAGAAUGAGCCUGACAUGGAUGAAAAAUAAGAGCUGGAAUGGCUGAGCAAACAGGUCUGCAGCAGAGGAGAGUCUGUUUCCACUAUGCUCUGUGGAGUUUCUGUGAGUCCAGCAGCUCACAGGAUGUGUUAAUAAGCAUGCUGCAGCAUUCCUGCUAAUUUGGUGUACUAUACUCAGCACCUCCCUGAGAGCCUGUACAGAAUGAGAUGCAUCUACUGCAGCCAAAGGGAGCUGCAUCCUCUUACUUGCUCCAUUGCUGCUUUAGGCAAUUACAAAAUUUUCUUUUGUGUCUGAGAGGUUUAGAAGCACCUGAGCACCUGGAAUUCAACAAUAUGACCCCACCAUAUGUGCUACUCUGUGAGUUCAGUCUUGAUGGCUCCCUCUUUGGCCUGGGAGCUUUUAGGUCAGGUAUAUUGCUCUGCCCAUGGCCAGUGCACCUGCCUCAAGGUGUUCUGCCUACUGCUUUUAUUUGCACAAGUUUUCAAAAGUGUCAGAGUGGUCAGACCUGAUGGAUUGCCUGCCUGAAGUAGGUGGAUGAUCAGCUGAAGUGUUUGUUUGAGCAUAUAGAUUCCUACUUGUGUUGUGAUAUUUUAAUUGCUGAGUUCAGCCUGCAAACUGACUUGGUGAAGUCUCUUUGGUAUUCUCUGUUCCUGAAGUGAAACCCCUUUGUACACUUUCCUAUUUAAAAGAAAACACAAUUUUAUGUUUGAGUAAGUAGAACAUAAAGCGCUAUCCAGAAGGUCAAUUUAAUGUGAGAUUGCUUUAUGCUGAUUGGCAAGAAUACACUUCUGUUUGUUAUUCUUAGGUUUUGAUGAUAUUCUCUUACUGUGAGAAAUGAGCACUGCCAAGAAGAGAUGAAGACAUGGCUUAGCUAUGAAGGGGAAGUACAAAAGACUGACAGUCCAGGAAAAAUACACCGCAAAAAAUUCACAUGGGACCGAUUCUCCUGAGCUGUGUGACUGCUGAGGCACCCAAAGACUUGUGGUUUCCUUAAAAGGCACCCACACGGACUUAAUUUCCCUGCAGUGCAUGCUCAUGACCCCAUGGUAUUUCUGGCAAGUGCCCUUCACGUGCCUGCCAGCAGCUGUGUGUGUGAAACACAAUGAUCAGAUGUGCUGCCAGUCUGGGGAGUUUGAAGCCUUCCUGAGGCAGAAGCCUGAAGAUAUUGAGGUAGUGGUCAGGAAGCAUCAUUCCAGAAAACCAUCUUAAACAGAGCUAGAUGCAGAACUGGCAUUUCUCUCCUCUCCCAAAGUCUCCAGAUGCAAUUGCAGGUGCUGGUGGAGUAGCUGGCAUCGCUUGGCACGUGUUGCAGAGGGGGAAUGGGAAGGGGAUGUGGUGCUGCCUCUGUUGGGGUAACGGCAGCAGAGCAGGUAUCUCCUCUCCUCCUGCUGCUGCCAGAGAGGCGGGUAAUUACCAUAUCCAUUUUAGAAAUGAAGAAACUAAUGCAGAGUGCAUAGGCGGAAGGGGAGAGUUUUAGGAAUAUGUGGGUGUCUGAGAUGCAAAUGCUUUGGGAAACACCACAUUGCGCCUGAUUUGCAUUUGUAGGCAGCUAAAUACUUGUACUGAUCUGACCCAGAGGGCUGUGUGUGAGGGUGCAGGGAACAGGGUGAGCUCCCCACACUUCCUCACUGGGGAUCCCUCAAUCCUUGUGGUGCCUGGUCCAGUCACUCUCCUCCUUUGGAUCUGCUCCAGGGAUAAGUGUUCCUGUGUUCCCCUAAAUGGAAGGAAUGAUGGGAUGGCAUGGGCUGGGAUGAUGUUUCCCUCUGCACUCUGCAAGGGCAGCCCAUAUUGGCAGCCCUUUUGAUUUUGCCAGCUUCUCCUCCAAGCUAGCUUUUCUCUUUCAGGUAGAAAUCUAUUUCAGAACUCAGCAGAUUUAUUUUGCUUCAGGACCUAUUGAUUUUUUCUGUUUCGAUAUUGCUCCUACCCAGACUGAAAACUGUUUAUCACCUGCCAGGUGCUGUUGAUACUCCUGGGCAGGAGGCAGAGCCGAUGCUGCUGCUUGCCCCUCCCAGUCCUUGCAGGACUUUGGACACUCCUUUUUAUGAUGAUGAUGAUGGCUGUCAUUCAGAAGCUCAUCACAGAGCAGUGAACACAUUCCUUGUGGGAGCUCAGCAUCAGAAGAAGUUGCAAGCCCCUUCUCAGGAGGAAAGAUGAGCACAAGCUGAAACACCCAAGCUGCAAUCAGUGGCAGAACACCACUCCAGAAAGGAUCAUGCCUCAUCAGCGGGUGUUGGCUUUCUAAGGCACCUCAAGUACCCUGCCAGGGUAAUUAGCAGUGAUCUGAAUCAGACAUCACUAUGUACAUGUCUGUCUACAAUGGUGACAUGUUUCCUCAUACAUCUGCAGCCAACAGCAUUUUUGAGGUGGAUACACUCCCUAGCCCGCAGUAAUCCCCUGCCUUGUGCUUGUUGUCACUCUGCACAGGAGUGUUUGUCCCAGAUAGGUCCUAUUGUCUCCAUGUUGCUCUGGAAUUCCAGGCUAGCGGGGAGUAUCAAUGAAAAUUGAAGGACAAAGUUGGAGGGAAAUGUGUUUAGUUUAGCUGGGAUAAGUCAGAAAAGAUCAGAUUUUGAUUCCAUUGUGUUUAUAUUUAUUUUGAAGGAAAAAAAAUGGGCAGUUUAUUUGUUGCAAAGUCCUUAUUUCACUCUCAGCUCCAGUAGCUAGGUAAACACUUCCCAGUAAUUUCCCAUAAGAAAAAGUUGGAAAAUCAGGGAAAGAGUGUUGUUCUUUCACCAGAAACAUUAAUAACAUGCAGUAUGGACCCUGCCUUUUCUCUGACUACUUUAUAGAAAGCUGUGGCAUAGGUGUAGCAACAGUUGACCAGGUCUAGACACUGCCUCUUGCUCAGAGUGGCCAGGCUGCAGUCAUGUCUCAGUUAAUUUUAUUUUAUUAAUUUGUUUUUUAAUUAUUUUCUUUCAUAAAAGGCUUGUAAUAUGUGAUGGAAAGAGCAGGGAAAUUCACCACUUUUGUACAUCUUUCCUGCAGGAAGGGGCCACAAGGUGUGUGGGUGCCCCUUGCGCCUUUGCAGUGCCAGCCAAGGACAGUCCACAGGACUCCUGAGGCCCAUAGGAGGAUGUACAUAAGAAAGGCAGAGGCCUACCAGCCUGGCAGGAGACAGAGGGAAAGUGUAGGAGCUGUCCUUUCCUAGAAGAGAGCCUGGCAGGAGACAGAGAAAGGGUAGGAGCUGUCCUUUCCUAGAAGGGAGCUGUGGAGACUCAUGUCCCAUGGAGCCAGCAGCUGGGGCAGGAUGAGAGGUGUGGGUGAGAAGGAGGGAGAUGCAGACCGGCAGUACCUGUUUGUGCUACUUCACUGUGACUGCUCGUGCAACUCUUCAGACCUACCUUUGUGUUUCAUUUUUUAAUCAUCCUCCAAGAUCUCAAGUAAACUUGCUUGUCUCACCCUAGCUAGGGCCAGCCCUUCCAUCUAUGCCCUCUGUGCCAACCAUACUCUGUCUCCUUCCCCAGAAAGCUCCUUUCCCUCUGCCAGCCUGUGAUGGCUGUCCACACCAGAAGUGUACACAGCAUCAGGCUGCCUUUGCUGCCUUUCCCCACUUCAGCCACAUCUAAUGAAAUGUGGGCACAUAGUGGUGUGAUUUAGUUCAGCCUCCAAUAUUGUCACACUUCCAGGAUUACUGUGGCUUUCAUGGUGCCCCCAGGAGGUGCAUGAACACAUGCAAGGUGUCCUGAAGAACUUCACAAGCUUUGGACUGUUGAAUGGUCUUCUAAAAAGUGGAAUAUGACAAUCCCACCCUUGGGUGGGAUGGGAUCACAUUCUCUGUUGCUUGCUCCCAGCAUGGAUUGUGUUUGCCUGCAGUGCUGGUACACCAGAUUUAUUCAUGUACCUUCUGUCUUGUGUUUCAUUUGCUUUGGCAACUCCCUAGCUCCUGGUCAUGGUGGAACACCACUGUGUGCCCAGUCACCUGCAUGACUGCCAGGACAGUGAUAGCCCACGUUAUCUCUUGAGGGUAGCUCAGAUUGUAGCCAAAGAAGAAAUAUUGUCCGCUCCAUUUGGUCUCCAGUUCAACACUUACAUGUGACAUGUUACUUGCUAGGUACUCCCACAUGACUCAUGACCACAAAAAUAAUAAAAAACUAAUGGGUAAGCUGGCCUACAAGGUGUUACUUGUUUGCUGUUAUUGUCCAGGGCUGCUGACUGCUGCUGAGGGAUUUCUACUGUGUAAUUAUAGCCCAGCCUUAGCAGCUCUGCCAGUCUGAACGCUUUUGCUGAGUGGUAUGUGUCCUUAUGGCUUCUAUGAACGUGACUCCAGAAGAUAAUUACAUGCACAGGAAGAAGACAGGAUAGAAACCUGAUUGGGAGGAUAAGGAGAACUUGCUUUGUGCCACCAUAGGAUUACAUGCAAGAGUGUAGUAUUGUCUGAAAGGAGAACAGUCAAGAUAUCAUCAGCUACUCCUGUUACUACACCCCAGAAUUCAUCAAGGGAUGAAGACAAAGAGACAGUUAAUUAUUCAUGACAUAUGCAUAAAAGGGGAAGAAACACACAGAGGGCUAUUUCAUCAUUUUUCAGCCUACCAAGGCUUAUUGGUUCAUAUUAAGCAGCUCUUCUUCUUUCAAAUCUAAUUUUGAAAUUGGCCAACACAGUCUUCCCCUCUGGCAUUGGUCAGGCCAGUGGUAAACUCAGAUUUCUGUUCUUCUUGCUUAAUUGGUACCUGUGAACCUAGGGUUUAUUUUGCCUGCUUGCUCCAGCUUGUCUCAGGCCUUAAUUGCGAGGUCUCUGGGGAAGGGCUUGUGCUGUAUAACGGGCCAGUGUUCUUCAAAUGGCUCAGCUUUUCCCCUUGGAAGAAGCUGAUUCAUCGACACGGAAAUGUUUUGCACAAUGGUCUUCACUUUGCUUAAAUUUCCAGUUAAAAGAAUGACUCAUUUUGAUAUGGCCAAAAGUGUAUUCUCUUGUCUCAUGUUGCAGUGUGGUGUACCAGACCUGCCUGGUGAGCUGAGGGCUGUGCUUCCCCACCCAGAGAAAGUGCGGGACUGUGCCUGAGCAUGGGGUGGUGGCACAAUCCUGUGUUGUAUCUGAUGCUGCAUGAAAUCCCUCCACCUUCAGCAAGGCUGGGAGCUGAUGGGAACAGUGCUGAGCUUCAGGCCAGUCUCCUGCUCUUCUCAGAGAUCCACCUCAAUCAUGGUCUUCUCCUGCGAGAUGUCAUGUGGCCCUCAGAUGCCCUUUCCAUCAUGUGAGCAUGCAUGUGCCUGCAUGUUUUCCUCUGCUCAGGAACAGCUCUCACUUUGCCUUAGAGCAUUUUGCAGUAAGACUGAAGUAACUCCAUCCCAGUGAAGGAGUGCCUGACUAUAAAUUCCUUUCUCCGUCAAUUACUUGUUCUGCUCCUGACUGUACCCCCUUUUUUAUACCCAUUUCCCAAAGGCACUUUCAUUACUGCAUAACAACAAGUUUUAAUGAGCACGUUGUUGUUGGGAUUCACAGAACAGGCUUUGUGCUGCUUCUGAAGAAAGUACACUUGGUAGAGAUUAUUUUUCUGCAACAGUUUAAUGGAGAGGAAACUGAAUGUGUCCCCAUAGUGGUUUUCUUUCAGGAUGAAAUUGUCAGAAGGGUGGGAGCCAAAGCCAGCCUGGCCCCUGCACCUGUGAGUGCUUCAGAAGGAGCUGAUGGUUGAGCUGGUCUUCACCAGAAGAGACAGUGGCUUGCAAAUGAGGCUCCCCUGUCCUGGUUCCAAAGAGGUCAGCUUUGCUCUUCUCCCUGAGCACCCAGGAAGGCUGUUGGUAUGCCACCAUUGUUUUUUCUCCUUGUGCAGUGUGCUUUGUUUUUUAAGCAGUUCCAUCCACAGCCUCAUGGAUGGACAAGGUAAGCAGUGUGCUGGAACUGAACAUGGUGACAGACUGAAAGCAUGAGGGGGCCAACCACAUUAUAAACUUAGCCAUAGUCAUCAAAGUCUGCUGGUUUUCAGAAAGGAACCAGCUCAUUCCCAUCUAUAUGUAGCUACUGAGAAAUCAGCUAGGGGAGAAAAAGUGAAUUUUGAGUAUGAUGGACACCACAACAUGGAACUGGGCCAGGGAUUCUCUCCUCCCAGGUCAGUCUGAGCAGAAAUUAUUGGGAACUGGACAUUGCUGCAGCUGUGAUGGUUUUUCGUUCUUGUUUCUAGUGUGCAUGUUGGACACAUCAAUUAGGAGUCCAAGCAAAAACAAUCAAAGGUGAAGGAGUAAGAGACACAACAUCCUCCUCAUCCUUGGUGGCAUCCUGUUUAUCUGACACCUGGAAAAAUGGCUAAAGCCUCCUGCAUACCUGAUGAGCGGUUAAUUGACAAAAUUGGAACAGAAGUCUUUAUGUUUAAGGGACCCAAAAGUCAGAAACACGUCACCUCCUAUUUCAGGAAGUCAUGCGUUGAGCAGCUGAACUUAUAUGAACUUUCCCUCAGCAGGGGAUUUUGUCAGGAAAGUGUACUAUUUAAAAUUUGGUGAACAAAUGUUGUGAAAUGCCUUUGUGAAUCAAAUCUAAUCAAGUCGGUAUUCCCCAGCUGGAGCCUGGAAACCUGCCCAGAGUGCCAGGCAGAGGAGAACGGUCUGAUAGGCAAGGCGUGAUGACAGCCUGCCAGAGGAGAGCUGAAAAAGGUGGAGCAGUGAACUGUCCCUAGCAGACUGUGAUAUUUCCGUGCUUUUCUUCUCUGAAACGCUUGAACUCCAAGACACACUGGGUGUGUGAGUUUACUCCAGUGAGCCUGAGGCAGUUUCAUUUAUGCAACUGUUUGCUCAGCAGAUGAGAGGCCCAGCUCUCUCUGAUCUCGGUGAUAUUCAGAGAACAGACUCUUCUGUAGCAUUCUCCAGAUCCAGAUGGGCAUCUGCCUGAUGCCAGGUGUGGAUGUGUUUUGCAUUUUUCCAAGCCAUAUUUUUGAGGGGGCUUGAAAAUGAAUAUCUGAGGCCCCUUGAAGACACUGAAGAAACUGCUAGUAUUCAAGGGACAGGGUGAGCAGAAAGAAGAGACAUGUUCCUGAGUUUUUAUUCUGGACAUGUGGGCAUGGGUCACCUCCAGGGCUGGGGUGAUACAUUUCCAUGGGUCCUGGGCAACACAUGCCAAGGGAUCUUGGACACGGAGAUACAUAGCCCUGUCAGCCUCAGCACAGCAGCAUCUAGAAGGUAGACUAUUGUCCAGGGUCUCAGUGGAUUUGCCAAGCCUUCCCCAAGUGAUCUGCCACAUCACAGAUCUGGCAGUGACAAUUCUGGUUGCCUCCCAAAAGCCAAAGGCUUGCCCUUUAACCAGGUCACACGAGAAAACCAGGGACAUGAUCUCUGCAGAAGUUUGUGUCUGUGGUGGAGCUCCACAGCAGCGUCUGCAAGCACAGGUGUGCUCCUCAGAGACAUUGGCAGUCCUGGUAUGUGGCUCCCACAGGGCUGGCUGGCCACACAGAGGGAGCCGCAGCUGCAAAUUGGCAUCUCAGAAUGUGCUGAUGUCUAUUCUGUACUGAUCUGCACAGGUGGAGCAACCAGCUUGACUUGACAUAUGCUAAUCCGAGAGGCAGCGAGGAGUCCUCUUGUCCUGCCAUGUCUCCUCAUGGGAGUCUGUGGUGCUGGCAGUACAGCGCCGUCCAGCACCAGCACUUACCACAUGCUUAUUAACGGGAAAAUUAGGAGGAAUGUACCUGGCACGUCAGCUAUGCUGGGCAUCACGGGGCUGGCAGCCUUCAGGAAGUGCUGUGGUUCACAAAGUGGAAUGAGAGGACAGCAUCAGCUCACCCCUCCUUCGCAUCGGACUAACAAGCAGAUGUGUGCCCUGGCUGAGCAUUGUGCACACACGCUGUGUUGAGUGCAGGGAUCUCAGGUCUUUUAGGGAAGGCAGGGAGCCAGAGCCCUACAGCACACAAGCCUGGAGGAUUACCACAGCCCUUCAGUAUCGAAUCCAAAGAUCCCGAUGUGACCCAGAGCAGAAUGUAGGACAGCCUUGCAUCAGGCCCAAAGUACACACCUGCCUUUUAAAAACAAGCAGCAAGUUUGAUUACAGCACGGCGUGGCAGCCUGAGCGGAGAGACAAACAACGUGACUGGUACUUAUUAUCGGGACUGUAAUUAUGCCCGGCGGUCCCAUGCCGCCUGCACCCCAGCGUGCGAAGCGUUGUACCAGACAUGAUAAAAGAUCAUCCCUGGCCUGAA